CCCCUGCAGGGCCGAGGGCGGGGUGGGAAGAGGGUGCAGGGGGGCUCCCCUCACAACGGACGCGGGUCUGGGGGCGCAUUUCAUGCCUCUCACAGAGCGACAUGGGAGGCUUGGGGUGUUUCCAUGCCUUUCACGGGGUGGCGCGGGCUCCCCUCACAGCGGGGCGCUCCCCAUGCCCUUGCCGGGGCGGCGCGGAGGGCGGUUUCGGGGUGUUGCCCCUUCCCGGGCCGGGCCGGGCCGGGCUCCCCCUGGCGGCGGGCGCCGCUCCCGGCUCCGCGCCGCGUUUUCGCGCUCGCCCUGCGUCCCCGGCGGAGCGCUCCCUCCGCCUCGCCUCGCCCCGCGGACCCGUCCGCCGCCGCCGUCGGGACUCCUUCGCGCGCGGCCUCCCCUCCCCCACCCCGCCCGCGGGCCGCCCGGCCGAGCCGCUGUCCGUGCCGGGGCCCGUCCCCGCUUCGGGCGCAGGCGGCGGGGCUGGGCGCGGGGCCGAGCCGGGGGGGUUGGGGGCGGUGUGCCGGGCGAGCUGAGGCGCGGACUAUUUGUCGAGGCCCGGCGGAGGGGGCGGCGCGCGGUGCCGCGGCUCCUCUCAGCGCUUCCUGGAAACUCCCGCUCAGGAGGGGGCGGGGCGGGGCGGCCCCCUCGUGCGGGGGCAAAACUCCAGUGGGCAGCGCCCCCUCCCCCCCACCUUAGGGCAGCCUCCCCCCAGGACCCUUCUGGUUGGGGCAGGCUGUGGUGACCUUUAUAAUUGCGGGACCCCUCAUGACUUUUGGUGAUGGGGGGCAGGCUGAGGUGAAGCCCCCCACCUUGUGACCUUUACGAUUGGGGGACCCCCCCCCAUGACCCUUGGCUGUGGUGGAGGCCCCCCCGUCAUGAUGAUUGACAUGGGAGUGGGGGGCAGCUACUGGGUGAGGUGACCCCCCAACUGCCCCGCUGCGUGCCGGGGUGCCCCUUCCCUUGCCCGCCUUGCUGGGGAGCCCCACGCGCCUGCUGGCAGAGCCGCCUCCACCCCCGAGCCGAGCGGGAUGGGAGGUGGAAGGCGCUUCAUACCAGGCUGCAGCAGCAGCCGCGGCGGAGAGCUAAUGUGGGAGCGGGGGGAGGGGAGGCCGAGUUUGUAAAUGGAAACGCUGGUACAGGAGCGUUUCGCACAAUCCGGCUGCGAGCGCCGACUGCGACGGCCUGACGACAAAAUCUCUCCCUUUGCUGCCCCCUGGCCGCCAGCGCCGGCCACUGUUCUCCAGGAGAAAAAAGAAAGGACGAGGCGCGCAAACUCUUCGCAAACUGCAUCUUCCCGGCGAUUUACAGUUUCGUGUCGCUUGCAGGCCGGGGUCGGCGCCCGGUCGUGGGAAGAGCAGAUGGGAAAGGCCGCCUGCGUCGUUCGAGUCCGGUCCCCGUCGUCUGCGGGCAACCAUUGACUCAAGGACGCCGCGUCAAGAUUGCCACUUCAAACCCUCGCGCGCAACUGCGAGGCGCACGAUCACAAGUGCGAGGAAGAGCCUCAACGUGCCAUAGCACAUUUCCAGAGGAGAGGAAGACUGAAAAGUCAGAGCUAACACCCCUGGAAAAAUGAAGAAUAAAAUAGGAAGGGAGGGAAAGCCUACUGAUAGAGAUACAGAGACGCACGCUCCAGGUAAUCUCAGUGACAGUAAUUCUCAAUUUCGUAUUGCAGUACCGUGCAUUGAAUAUGAAGAUUAGUUACUCUGCUCAACAGUCCAAAAAUAAAGACCUUAUAUUCUCAGUCCCCAGCUUGUUGCCUUUUAUAAGCCACUGUCUCCAGACACAUCAAUUCCCACAGGCCAUUGCACCACUCCUGCAAGAGUGAAGCUGUUGGUUUUUUCUACUGUUGCAAUGCUAUUUUCUUAGCCAUCAAAUAUACCUUCUCUCUGCUAAUGCGAGAGUUUCAGUGAUUUGGGGCUUGCACCCAAUAAAAAUAGGCAACGUAUAAUGGAAUUACCUGGAAAAGUAAGAUUAAUUCUAGCAAGUAGAUCCUUCCAAAUCCUAUUAGGGAACAAGCAUUUCCACGGAAAUUGUUGUAUGACGGAGUUCUCCUAGAUGCUCAACAUCUUCAGCAAGCAUCCAUUGCCUUUGGGCCAAGGCCGUGUAUUCUAAUAGAGACCCACUAUAAUCUACAUGUAAAUGUUGUUGUCCAAACUGAUAAUGAAGGCUAAACAAGAUCCUGGGCUGUGUCCAGUAGACGAUUUAGGUAACUAUAUGCUAGGCACUAAAACAGUAGCUUUUAGGUGCCUGGUCCCCAGAGUGGAAUUCAAAACAGCAUUGGGUGCUAGGUACAUUGAACGCGGAGAGCGGCUUCCCACAAGGGUGAUCCAAAAAACAUACAGAAGGAGUAAAAAGCCAUCUUAAGUUAGUAGGAAAUACUAGGCACAGGAGUGUGCCUGAGCUCCCACUCCUCUCCAGAGCUUAGGUGCCAGAGCCAGGGGCACAAGUUUAAACCCGUGUGCGCUCACCCUCCAGAGCCCGUCUGGAGGUUAGACGCCUACAUCUGCUCUUGGUAAGUAUUGAGCAGGUCUUACUCUUCUGUUUUAAAAUACAGGCAGAGAAGCUGUGACCCACCUUUCCUAGUAGCUUAGUGGUUACAGCAUUCAUAAGGAGGUGGAAGACCAGGGUUUUAGGCCUUCCUCACCCUGUGGGAGGUCAGACCCUAACGGCCUGGCUAUCUGCUAAGUUGGGUGGGGGAGCAUUCUCCACCCCUGCUCUUCAAUCUGUGCUGCUGAGAAGAAAAGAGUGCAAGGUUAAGCCCUACUGAAUAUCCUAACGAUUAGUCAUAAAUUAAUAACUUCUGUCAACAAUGUUCUACCUACUAUGCCAUAAACAAUCGGCCAAGCAAAGGGUGGUGAUGCGUACCGGUAUGUUUUAGGAAAUGUUUAAUGUGCAGAUUGUUUAGUCUGUCGACUUGAAGCUCCCAUCCCUUCAAAUGAUGGCAGCAGUGGCAUCAAAUAACUUAAAUGAAUGCACAUAGAUUCAGAAAAGCAUAGAAUUUCAGAUGCUUCCCAAAUCUGCAUGAUUAAAAACCUUUGUGAGCUUUAAUGACCGGAGUUCAUUGCUAUUUCCAGUAUCUGUUUUUCUGUCAGAGAAAUAUCUCAUGUCUUUAGAACAAUGUUAUUAGUUCUAUUACAGGAGCACUCAAAGACAAAUGUAUAAUUCCAAAAUACUUAAGAAGGACAGGAAGUGCACAGAAGACAAGCUUGGCUAAACAGCAAGAUCUUCAGUGAGUUGAAUCUCAAAAAGGAAUCUUACAAAAAGUGAAAAUUUGGCUCUAUUACUCAGGAGGAGUCUAAAAGUAUUGCACAGGGAAACUGGGAGAAAACCAGGAAGGCCCAGGGUUACUUCUAGAGUACUGAAAGAAUUGGCUGAGAUAAUUUCAGAGCCAUUAGCCAUUUUCUGUGAGAACACCUUGACAACAUUUGGUGAGAUCUGACCUGCUGUGGCCUUGCUCUUCUUGCCUCUGGGAUGAAGCAAACACAAUGCUCAUUUUUAAGAAAGGGAAGAAAGAUGAUAGAUGGAAUUACAGGCAGUCCAUCUGUCCUUGAUGCCUGUCAAGAUCAUGGAGCAGGUCAUCAAGGAAUCUGAUUAAGCACCUGUGGGAGAACAAGAUGAUUGGGAACAGCCAACAUGGAUCCAAGAGCCAGCCACGCCUGACCAACCUGAUUUCCUUCUAUGACAAAGUGACAGUCUCUGGCUGGAGGGAGAGCAGUGGAUGUGAUGAACCUUGAUUUUACUGAGGCUUUUGACCCUGUCUCCCAUUACGUUCAUAUUAAUGAGAUAAAGAAAUGCAGUCUAAAGGGCUAUAAGGUGGGUAUGUAACUGGUUAAGAAAAGGAAUUGCUUUUUAAACAUAAUAAUGUUUUAAAUGUUUCUGUGUUUCCUGUGCAACUGAUAUCACGUGCCACAUUUCAGUUCAGUGAGCAUUUUUACAGCCAAGUUACAUUAUCCAGAAAAUAAAGGGAAUGAUAACUGAAUUGCUGAAAGAACCUCAUGGGUAGGCACAAAAAGCAUCAUUAUAAUAGCACAUCAUUAUAAUCAUCACAACCUUAUUUGGCUCUAUCCUGGUGUUUCCCAGGCCCCUUGACAUGCAAAUCCUUGCUAAAGUUCUUAGCUAAUUUCUCUCCGUCUGUGUUGCACUUAAAUAACUUUAGUCUCCAGUCCAUUCUUAGUGCAAAGCAUCUUGUAUCUCAAUUUUUUUUUACUGGACAAGCCUUUUGCUGCUUUCUUUCUGCCACGAAAGUGUUAAAAGCUAAAAGUUUAUCAGCUACAUGCCAACAGUUUACCCAUACAUGCCUUUCUUUGGUGCAAGUAUAACUAGCCUGUCCAAAAAAAUUGAGACUAAGAAACCUAAUUUGAUUAUGCCAGGUCUUGUCUUCACAGUCCUAUAAACCAAUUCAGGAGGAAGAAACUUACCAAGCUGCCAAGAAUUCAUCACAUCCUGGCACUGGUUCUUUUGUAAUAAAUGUAAUUUUGUUGUUUAAAUAAUAAGGGAAGGGAAAAUAAUAUCAUUUUAUCUGCAUGCUCCAUGACAACCAUUCUUCUUGAAUGAUCUCAGGAUUAAAUUCUUCAAGGGGAUAAGAUGUCUACCACUGAGGAAUUUAUAGCACAUCCUUAUCCUGGGUGGAAUCCUUUCCACUGCCAGCUGAACAGUUUACACUACCAGCGAGAUGUCCCAUUGCAUGAGGGGGUUUACAAGGUUAAAAGAUAAAGUACAGCCAAAUAAAGAAUGGAAAUCCAAAAACACUGCAAGUGUACGCAGAAGAGAAGAGACACAAGACAGUGAUGUGAUUGAUUAAAAUUUGGUUAGACAUUGUCAUUUGAAAUGAAUGGCAGGAAUUCAAAGGUACAGUUCCUAGAAUAAACCAUUUUAAACUUUUUUUUAGUCACUUAAGUCAGAACAGAUCACUGUGCUUCCAAACAUUAGAUAUGCAAGCUAAGAAUGAGUUUUUUCUACAUAGAUGUAUUUUUGCUAUAAAUGCACAUGAGGGAAGAAAAUUAAACAAGGAAAGCUAUGGUCAUCAGCCUGGAGUAUCUGAAAGUUAGUAUUUCAUAGAUGUGCAAGUGCUAGCUCUGUACAGGUAUCCACUCAAACUCUCACACUACAAGAGAAGCUGCUGUUUAUCUUCCAGACCUAAUACUAGGCCUGUGAGAGUUUCCACAAAAAGGAAGACAUGUGAAUGAAAUGGACCUGUUUGCCAGUCUGCAGGUAAAAACAGAUUCAUCCUCAGAGGGAAUUGCCAUUAUCAAUGAAAAAGAAACUUCUGUGUCUUGACUCUGAUAGAUCUGGAAUGGCGCGUCCCUGUGAUCCAAGCGCAGUGCUCACACUGCAAAACCUGAUGAGACAGAAAUUGUUCUUUGCUGUGAGUUAGUGCUAACAACUACGUCCAAGGAGCUUUACUUUAAUGUGCUGGAAAGACUUUUAAAAUGUCAGGAAAUCCUGCUCGUGCAAACAGACAUGCAGUUGCAGCACAUGAAAGGGCAAAUAUUGUGGCGCGUACAUGUACUCAACAUUAGCAAUAUGGAGCCUGGAAGUCGCAACUUGUUUAAACAGAUCAGACGGGUGGAUCCAAUGGAAGAGGUCUUUGGUCAACUUCACUUGCCUUGAACCUAGUCUGCCUUACCGAGAUGGUGUCAGUUUCUUCAGCAAAAGAGAAUUCAAAAUGCUUACAACCUUGUUCUUGAUGGAAGGAAGUUCAUCUGUAUAAUGGGGAGAGAUGCUAAAGCAAAUGGGGGCAGGAGUGGUUAAUCUUGACCAGUAGUAUCUUUUCAGGGGACAUCAGGUUGCCCCCUUUUAUAGGUUUCUCUGACUCCCUGCAAACAGCAGCUUCAGGAGAAUGUUUGGAUGACAGUUAAUCAGGAAGUUCAGUUGUUGGAAGGUGAAAGCAAUGGUGAAUGGGAUGAAAAAAAAAACCAAACCAGGGUUUGCCUGAUGAAAAAAGUGCAUGGAUGGGUUACUGUGUGAUUUAGUAUACAAGUGUGGGAGAGUGCACAAGACUUGGCUCUAGACUGUUCCUACGUGUAGGGAGAAAGCAUGCGGAAGGAGUCAAAGGCACGCUUGUUUUUCACGCACAUACCAGGCAGUAUAUGAUAAUGCAUUUAUAUUUGCUGAGAGCAUAAUUAUUAGGGACAGUAUGUGUCUGUUAUAGAACAAGUAUGGUUGCAAGCCUGACACCGAGAAGGAGAAAAUGUCUGCUCAGGGGCACAUGGGUUUGUCAGUUUAGGUCACCGAUUGCUGUGUAGGGGCAAAAUAGCGAAUGCAGCACAGGGAAAGAGAGAGAGAACCUACUGGGUUUUAUGCUGCAAACAUGGGGUUUUCUAGCCUUCUUGCAUGUUGUGAAGAUUCACGGCACCUACCUGCACGUCAGAUCCCCCCAACAGGCUAGGCUGUAGGAGAUAAAAGUUCUGGCCUUGCACAGCUCUCGGGGUGUAGGAGUUAAAGAGAAAUGUAAAUGCCCUUGCAGUAAAUGCAAGGUAAAUUUUCAUUCACACACACUUUCUCUCUGGUUCCAGUUUUCUUUUCAUGCUUUAAUCGUUCUGACACCAAGCCGUACAAAAGUAAUUUAAAAUUAACAUGACUGACACUUGGUAGAUAGCACAACCCAAGACAGAGCUCCACCUCCUCCUCCAGAGCGCUGAAAGGGCUCUUUGGAUUGGCUGCAGGACCUGAGGCAGCUGAGAAGGGCCUAAGAAAAACAUGGCAAACAAUUAAUUUGCUAAUUUAGUUUUCUGUUUAAUUUGAAACCAGAAAAUUGUCAGCCACCCAUCAGCCCACCAGCCUGGCUGCCCAGCCUGGUGGCAACAGUCGCAGUGCUUGCUAGCCAAGAGGGGACGCUCAUUGUAGUGCUGGGCACUUUCCUGUUGAAGCAUCGAUGGCAGUGGAGAGGUCUGGGAUGGGGUUUUACCACUCGAGAUCUGUAGCACUGAGUUUUGUCACCUGUGCCAGCCCCUCACCACCUGUCUUCCUAGAAAUGUAACACACGCAAAUGCACCGUCCUUGGACAACUGCUCCGGAAAUUUCCCAGUCUAGGCUAAAACGUGCUUGCCCGGCCUUAGCAUGAAGAAAAGCAUGAUUUAGUUAUAACUGAUUUGCCUCGGCCAAUCGGCAUUUGCACAAGGCCGCCCUGUGCGCGGUAGUUAGGUCUGCGAGGCGUAAUAGCUCUCGAAGUCCUGUAGUAUGUCAGGGCUAAUGCCCUUUGAUGGAAUAAGAAAUGCUGUAAUUUGAUUUCCCCUUUUUCAGCUGUGAAGGAGAGCAUGUAAUUUUGAAUCUAGUUGGGGGAGGCCUUCUCAAGUUUGUAAACACUCUAUGCAGAAACCUGUACGUACUUUGGAGGUAAUAAACUAAAUUGUAACAAUA